GAGUUUGAUCCUGGCUCAGAGCGAACGCUGGCGGCAGGCCUAACACAUGCAAGUCGAACGAACUCUUCGGAGUUAGUGGCGGACGGGUGAGUAACACGUGGGAACGUGCCUUUAGGUUCGGAAUAACUCAGGGAAACUUGUGCUAAUACCGAAUGUGCCCUUCGGGGGAAAGAUUUAUCGCCUUUAGAGCGGCCCGCGUCUGAUUAGCUAGUUGGUGAGGUAAAAGGGCUCACCAAGGGCGACGAUCAGUAGCUGGUCUGAGAGGAUGAUCAGCCACAUUGGGACUGAGACACGGCCCAAACUCCUACGGGAGGCAGCAGUGGGGAAUCUUGCGCAAUGGGCGAAAGCCUGACGCAGCCAUGCCGCGUGAAUGAUGAAGGUCUUAGGAUUGUAAAAUUCUUUCACCGGGGACGAUAACGACGGUACCCGGAGAAGAAGCCCCGGCUAACUUCGUG
rnacentral:rRNA from 1 species